AACGAACGCUGGCGGCAUGCCUAACACAUGCAAGUCGAACGAGACCUCCGGGUCUAGUGGCGCACGGGUGCGUAACGCGUGGGAACCUGCCCGUAGGUUCGGAAUAACUCCCCGAAAGGGGUGCUAAUACCGGAUAAUUUCUUCGGACCAAAGAUUUAUCGACUUUGGAUGGGCCCGCGUUGGUUUAGCCUGUUGGUAGGGUAAAAGCCUACCAAGGCGACGAUCCAUAGCUGGUCUGAGAGGCUGAUCCGCCACACUGGGGCGGAGACACGGCCCAGAAUACUACGGGAGGCAGGAGUGGGGAAUAUAGGACAAUGGGCGAAAGGCUGAACCAGCAAGGCCGCGUGAGUGAUGAAGGCCUGAGGGAAGUAAAGCUCUUUUACCCGGGAUGGUAAUGACAGUACCGGGAGAAUAAGCACCGGCUAACUCCGUG
rnacentral:rRNA from 1 species